rnacentral:misc_RNA from 1 species
CUGAUGGGAUAAAUGAUUAGGUGGGGGGGGGGGAGAUGAGACCGAAGCAAGGUGGGAAGUUCAGAAUGCCGGCUGGACUAUUCCUCAUCCAGAUACCGCGCCGGCUGCACCUUCGUUCCAGUCACCAGGCCAUCACCGACCCCGCUAGUCUACGCAGCCCAGUGUCCGUGUUUGCCUUGACUGGCGUGACUUGUAAAGCAACAGCGGGAAGCUUGACCUAUGUGACGGGAGUUUUUUCGUGGGGUGGAGUGACGUGCCGCUGCUGUAUUGAGGCCAGCGGACCACAGUGGACCACAGUGGAGCACGGGAGCACAGCGGGGGAGAGGCUGUGGAGUUGCUGAUCAAAAGGCUUGACUCAACAGCGAUAAUGAGCCUCCUGCACCAUCAGGGAGGAAUUCUACCUCUCAUUGACAACGACCACUGCCAACACCUCUGCCUCCGCCACCGUUGCAAGAUUAGAGAAGGUCCCUCGGCCUUGCAUUGCGCACACGCUGCAGACUUUUCCGCCGCCGCUCAAUGGGACUGGCUGAGUGGGUGAGUGAGGCCGCUUAGGGGGAUCGGCUGAGUGGGUGAAUGAGACUAGUGUGUGAGGCGGCCUGGCGACGAGAACCAGCAGAUGACGGCGGACAUGUAAGAUUAAAACCAGGUGUUGACGAUCCAAAGGCUUGAAACUGCAGCGGUCAUGAGCCUCCUGCACGACGCAUUCACUGACCCUCCCACCAGCCUCCCCACACCACUGGCACUCGAGGGAGGGACUCUGCCGUCCCGCUAACACGUGCCGCCGUCGCCGCUCCGCUACUGUCACUCGCCACAGCCGUCACCACCACCGAGGUCGGCCGCCGUCCAAUGAGGGAUUGUCUCGCAUCGCACACAUCCUGCCCACUAAACACCUGCUGCCGCCACCACAGCAGGAGGUGCAUGGCACCUUAAAACUGCGUGGUAAACACCUACUCUUACUCCUGGUGGUGCUGUUGGUGGCCAGGGAGGGAAUAGGUGUUGGUUGGCGUGGCAGUCUUCCCUCAUUGUGGUGUUUAUGUAUGUACUUAGUGUGGUGCCAUUACUCCAUUGUAAUAAACUGUUUAUUGCCUCACUGCGGUGUUACUAUUAGUGCUGUUGUCACUAUUGAAUAAUAAACUGUGAAGAAAUCUG